rnacentral:rRNA from 1 species
GAAUAUUGGACAAUGGGGGGAACCCUGAUCCAGCCAUGCCGCGUGUGUGAAGAAGGCCUUUUGGUUGUAAAGCACUUUAAGCGAGGCGGAGGCUACUCUAGUUAAUACCUAGAGAUAGUGGACGUUACUCGCAGAAUAAGCACAGGCCACCUCCGUGCCAGCCGCCGCGGUAAUACCGAGGGUGCAAGCGUUAAUCGGAUUUACUGGGCGUAAAGCGCGCGUAGGUGGCCAAUUAAGUCAAAUGUGAAAUCCCCGAGCUUAACUUGGGAAUUGCAUUCGAUACUGGUUGGCUAGAGUAUGGGAGAGGGUGGUAGAAUUCCAGGUGUAGCGGUGAAAUGCGUAGAGAUCUGGAGGAAUACCGAUGGCGAAGGCAGCCAUCUGGCCUAAUACUGACACUGAAGUGCGAAAGCAUGGGGAGCAAACA